ACCAUGGCCUGGGCUCCACUCCUCCUCACUCUCCUGGCUCACUGCACAGAGUCUUGGGCUGAGGUUGUGUUCACUCAGCCCCAUUCUGUGUCGGGGUCUCCGGGGCAGACGGUCACCAUCUCCUGCACCCGCAGCAGUGGCAGCAUUGACAGCAGAUACGUGCACUGGUACUAGCAGCUCUCGGGCAAUGCCAUCACCACUGUGAUCUAUGAGAAUAAGCAAAGACCCUCUGGGGUCCCUGAUCGGUUCUCUGGCUCCAUCGACACCUCCUCCAACUCUGCCUCCCUCACCAUCUCUGGGCUGGAGCCUGAGGACGAGGCUGACUACUACUGUCAGUCUUAUGAUGACAGCAGCAAUUACCACACAGUGCUCCAGCCCCAUGGGGAAAUCCAGAGCCUCAUCUCCUCCUGUUUCUACCAGUCCUUGAACUCAGCUGUUUGA